GCAAGUCACAGUCUCUCUGUGCCUCAGUUGACUAGCUGUAAAAAUGGGGAUAUUAAUUCUUACCUACCUCACAGGCCUAUUGUGAAGAUAAGUACAUUGAAGACCAGGAGAUGCUCAGAUACGAUCUGUGAGUGAUUCAAAGGACAUCCCGCAAUGAACCAGAUGAAAGCAAUCCAGCCCUACCUUCUCAGGGAUUUGGUCCAUGGCUAGCUACCACCUCAACAAAAAGGUCACUCUGGAUAAAAGUUUGCAAUCAAAGCGAUUUUAGGAUAAUUCAAGAAGCUAUCAGAAGGAGAGAGGAGAUGAAAUUAAGUAAAUUUAGGCUGACUUUCAAGGAGAAAAAAAAUAGAUGGAAGAACUCUCACACCUCAAGACAUGACUGGAAGGUCAACAAAACCUGAUGAAUGAACAGAGGGAAGCAAACUCAGCAGUAAAGUAAACCUCACUGAAAAUA